rnacentral:rRNA from 1 species
CAGUCGCCACGGUAAUACAGAGGGUGCAAGCGUUAAUCGGAAUUACUGGGCGUAAAGCGCGCGUAGGUGGUUUGUUAAGUUGGAUGUGAAAUCCCCGGGCUCAACCUGGGAACUGCAUCCAAAACUGGCAAGCUAGAGUAUGGUAGAGGGUGGUGGAAUUUCCUGUGUAGCGGUGAAAUGCGUAGAUAUAGGAAGGAACACCAGUUGCGAAGGCGACCACCUGGACUGAUACUGACACUGAGGUGCGAAAGCGUGGGGAGCAAACAGGAUUAGAUACCCCUGUAGUCCCUGUCUCUUAUAC